UACGUAGGGUGCAAGCGUUGUCCGGAAUUAUUGGGCGUAAAGAGCUCGUAGGCGGUCAGUCGCGUCUGCUGUGAAAACUCGGGGCUUAACUCCGGGCCUGCAGUGGGUACGGGCUGACUAGAGUGCGGUAGGGGAGACUGGAAUUCCUGGUGUAGCGGUGAAAUGCGUAGAGAUCAUGAGGAAGACCAGUGGCGAAGGCGGGUCUCUGGACAGUUCCUGACACUGAGGCACGAAGGCCAGGGGAGCAAACGGG
rnacentral:rRNA from 1 species